GACAGAGGGUGCAAACGUUGUUCGGAAUUACUGGGCGUAAAGAGCGUGUAGGCGGCCCGGUAAGUCCGCUGUGAAAGUCGGGGGCUCAACCCUCGGAUGCCGGUGGAUACUGUCGGGCUCGAGUACGGAAGAGGCGAGUGGAAUUCCUGGUGUAGCGGUGAAAUGCGCAGAUAUCAGGAGGAACACCUAUUGCGAAGGCAGCUCGCUGGGACGUUACUGACGCUGAGACGCGAAAGCGUGGGGAGCAAACAGG
rnacentral:rRNA from 1 species